rnacentral:tRNA from 1 species
UCCCUGGUGGUCUAGUGACUAGGACUCUGUGCUCCCAAUGCAGAGGGCCUGGGUUCAAUCCCUGAUCAGGGAA